rnacentral:rRNA from 1 species
UUUAUGGAGAGUUUGAUCCUGGCUCAGGAUGAACGCUGGCGGCGUGCCUAAUACAUGCAAGUCGAGCGAACGGACGAGAAGCUUGCUUCUCUGGUGUUAGCGGCGGACGGGUGAGUAACACGUGGAUAACCUACCUAUAAGACUGGGAUAACUUCGGGAAACCGGAGCUAAUACCGGAUAAUAUUUUGAACCGCAUGGUUCAAAAGUGAAAGACGGUCUUGCUGUCACUUAUAGAUGGAUCCGCGCUGCAUUAGCUAGUUGGUAAGGUAACGGCUUACCAAGGCAACGAUGCAUAGCCGACCUGAGAGGGUGAUCGGCCACACUGGAACUGAGACACGGUCCAGACUCCUACGGGAGGCAGCAGUAGGGAAUCUUCCGCAAUGGGCGAAAGCCUGACGGAGCAACGCCGCGUGAGUGAUGAAGGUCUUCGGAUCGUAAAACUCUGUUAUUAGGGAAGAACAUAUGUGUAAGUAACUGUGCACAUCUUGACGGUACCUAAUCAGAAAGCCACGGCUAACUACGUGCCAGCAGCCGCGGUAAUACGUAGGUGGCAAGCGUUAUCCGGAAUUAUUGGGCGUAAAGCGCGCGUAGGCGGUUUUUUAAGUCUGAUGUGAAAGCCCACGGCUCAACUGUGGAGGGUCAUUGGAAACUGGAAAACUUGAGUGCAGAAGAGGAAAGUGGAAUUCCAUGUGUAGCGGUGAAAUGCGCAGAGAUAUGGAGGAACACCAGUGGCGAAGGCGACUUUCUGGUCUGUAACUGACGCUGAUGUGCGAAAGCGUGGGGAUCAAACAGGAUUAGAUACCCUGGUAGUCCACGCCGUAAACGAUGAGUGCUAAGUGUUAGGGGGUUUCCGCCCCUUAGUGCUGCAGCUAACGCAUUAAGCACUCCGCCUGGGGAGUACGACCGCAAGGUUGAAACUCAAAGGAAUUGACGGGGACCCGCACAAGCGGUGGAGCAUGUGGUUUAAUUCGAAGCAACGCGAAGAACCUUACCAAAUCUUGACAUCCUUUGACAACUCUAGAGAUAGAGCCUUCCCCUUCGGGGGACAAAGUGACAGGUGGUGCAUGGUUGUCGUCAGCUCGUGUCGUGAGAUGUUGGGUUAAGUCCCGCAACGAGCGCAACCCUUAAGCUUAGUUGCCAUCAUUAAGUUGGGCACUCUAAGUUGACUGCCGGUGACAAACCGGAGGAAGGUGGGGAUGACGUCAAAUCAUCAUGCCCCUUAUGAUUUGGGCUACACACGUGCUACAAUGGACAAUACAAAGGGCAGCGAAACCGCGAGGUCAAGCAAAUCCCAUAAAGUUGUUCUCAGUUCGGAUUGUAGUCUGCAACUCGACUACAUGAAGCUGGAAUCGCUAGUAAUCGUAGAUCAGCAUGCUACGGUGAAUACGUUCCCGGGUCUUGUACACACCGCCCGUCACACCACGAGAGUUUGUAACACCCGAAGCCGGUGGAGUAACCUUUUAGGAGCUAGCCGUCGAAGGUGGGACAAAUGAUUGGGGUGAAGUCGUAACAAGGUAGCCGUAUCGGAAGGUGCGGCUGGAUCACCUCCUUU